UGGAGGAAAAUCAGACAAGGAGGAGGAGGCCAGCCUAGGGAAGCGGGGUUCCCUCCUGCUGACCCUCCGCACUCAUCCUAGGGCAGGAGCUGUGUGGAGAGGAAGAGAGCAGAGCCCUGAAACGGGCCAAGGCUGGACACUCGAGAAUGAAGAGCCCUGAAGCCACCAGGCUCUGCUCUGGGAUCCAAACCAGCGAAACCCUGGACUCCUGAAGCGAGGCGCAUGAACUUAACCACUCGGCCACGGCCACGGGGCGGUUCCUGAACUAUCAUGUGUGAAAAGCAUUCCAGGUGAUCUUAUUUAGGAUCAAAGUCUUCGGCAUUUCCCCAAGGUCAAGAAGAAGUCGUUAUCAGAUAAGCUCCGAAGGAUCUCAACAGAUAUUGAUUCAGAUGGAAGGAUAAAUCUGGUCCCUGUUACUCAAUCUUGGCUGGAAAUAAAUAUCUACCACUAAGGAAAUGAAAUAACAUUACUGCAGCAUGCACACACAAGUGGAAGUGUCUAUGUUGCAUCGUGAACGCUGAGAUGGAUCCACGUGCCAGGGUGUGUUCCUCACGCACAGGGGACUGAAAUGAAGCACCAAAGAGU
rnacentral:lncRNA from 1 species